GACGAACGCUGGCGGCGUGCUUAACACAUGCAAGUCGAACGGAAAGGCCCUGCUUUUGUGGGGUGCUCGAGGGGCGAAGGGGUGAGUAACACGUGAGUAAGCUUGCCUUGACUGUGGGAUAACCUCAGGAAAGUGGGGCUAAUACCGGAUAGGAGCUCCUGCUUGAGGGUGGGGGUGGGAAGGUUUCGGUGGUUGGGGAUGGACUGGCGGCUUAUCAGCUUGUUGGUGGGGUAGUGGCUUAGCAUGUCUUGGAGGGGUAGCCGGCCUGAGAGGGUGGACUGCCCCAUUACGCCUGCGCUACGGCCCAGCCCCGAACGGGAGGCAAGGGUGGAGAGUAUUGUACAGUGGGCGGGAGCCUGAUGAGACACCGCCGCGUGGGGGAUGUCGUGCAUGCGGUUGUGAAGCGCAUUCGCUUUAGACGGAGCGUUAGUGACGGUACCGGGUGAAUAAGCACCGGCUAACUACGUG
rnacentral:rRNA from 1 species